GUUGCCUUGUCUUCAGGAUCUGUGUUUCUGGAUGUCCACAGCAGACUGCAUGACCUCCUUCUUAGGCAGAUGUGGCAGGUGUGGCUACACCAGUCAAGACGGGGGAGAGAGCUCCCUCCUCUGGAAGCUUCAGUUCUGAGCCCAGGUGUUUGUCCUGCACUCAGGAUAUGCUGGUUUCUAGCAAACAGGAAUCACAGAGAGACACUUACCUUCCGGUUGAUGUGAGCGGUCAUGAGUGCAUGUCGGUGCAUCUUCACAAUGCAGAGAACCAGACCAGUCCACGCAUAAUAUGUGGUGGCAGAGCCCCCACUGCCAUGCAUAACAUGUAUGUGGUGGAGCCCCAGCUGCCAUGUGUAACUGAUGUGAUGGAGCCCCAGCUGCUGGGCUGCACCUCACAGUCUUGAGGAACUGGCACUUGUUGCCAAAGCUGGAGAGAAGGUGCCAUGCCCAGGGCCUCCAUCUUGCCUGUGGCCAUUGCACCUUCCGCCUUACACUGAGACUCCCAACCCCCUUUGCACAGGACGCAGAGUGCCUCCAGAUGUGAUUGAAAAAUUAAGGUGAUAUAAAACACAGUGCAAUAAAACACACCGUCGUAUACACUUAAGGCACAAGUGGAAUCCUGAGGCAGAAGGACACCCAUUGAGCACCCUCGAGAGGUCGCUCCUUGGGCUUCAACACCAGCACAGGAGGCUGUUCAGAAGGGGAAGCCCAGAAGGAAAGAAAGGGAUGAAGCUGCUGUAUCUGAGAGAAUGGCAUCUAAAAGGCAUUUGGGGACCCGUUACUACACCCUCCAUGCUGCACGAGGCCAGACAGGGGCCUCAACAGCCUGAAGACAGUCCUUCUCCUUCAAUGGCUCGACAGCCUUCCGCCCACCAAGUGCAGCACACAGAUCUGCUUCUACCAGUUGCAGGAGACUGGAAGAUUAACGAGAUUUGUUCCCCAACGGUCGUCAACCCAAAGCUUUUGUGGGCCAUGAAUGCUGUCGUGUCCUGCGUGAAACUCUUAUCCUGUUAGACCCUGCCCAGUGUACUGCAUCUGAUAUGGACCACACCUGUUUCACAUGCUGUAUCUGAGUGGAGAGAGAAGAGGAAUGGGAAUUUUGUUUCUUGCCUGCCCCCUCCCUUCCAGGCCAUCUUAACUGGAGACACAUUAAUUAACUGCCUCUCUUAGAGUGGCCCCAUUCUAGGCCUGGUACCCAAAUGUGAACACCAUGAAGAAGCCUCUUUGGGAACGUGCACCUUAAGUCUUCCAGGCCGGGCAAGGUGAAAUCUUUCUUCUGUGUGGGGUCCUUGAAGGGUGCCAAGGUGAGUCCCCUCCUUCCUACCUUGUCAAGCCUGUUAGGAAACCUGAACCCAGGCAACAGCACUGCCUGACAAAAACAUGUUGGGGCCACAGACAGCAGCUACGGCGGCAGUGCUGCACUUCCUAGGAGCCACCUUUAAAAAAAGUAAAAAGAGGCCAGGUGCGGUGUCUCACACCUAUAAUCCCAGCACUUUGGGAGGCCGAGGCCGGUGGAUCAUUUGAGGUCAGGAGUUCGAGAUCAGCCUGGCCAACAUGGUGAAAUCCAGUCUUGCCUAAAAAUACAAAAAUUAGCUGGGCGUGGUGGUGCGCGCCUGUAAUACCAGCUACUUGGGAGGCAGAGGUGGGAAAAUCAUUUGAACCUGGGAGGUAGAGGUUGUUGCAGUGAGCUGAGAUUGCACCACUGCACUCCAGCCUGAGAGACAGAGUGAGACUCCAUCUAAAAAAAAAAGUAAAAAGAAACGAGUAAAAUUAACUUGAAUGAUGUAUUUUAUUUAACCGUAUAUAUCCAAAAUAUCAUGAUCUCAACAUGUAACAAUAUAGAAACUAUUAAUGAGACAUUUGACGGCCUUUGUUCUGCACUAAGCCUUUAGAAGCCAGUGUGCACCUCACACCGAAGGCACAUUUCCAUCAGACCAGCCACGUCUCACAUACAAGGUGCCACAAGAGGCUCGUGGCCCAGGAUCUGGCAGCACAGCCAUGCUCUGGGCCUGGCUGGGCCACGUUCUCUCUUCCUGACCUAGAAAGACAACCACUCCACCAAGGAAUAACAGGUGCCCAGAAAAAUAGUUCUGGAUAGAAACGGCCAUGAAAUUUACCAUCAUAUCCUUCUCCCCAUAUUUAAAUCCUAUACCAUUGCAUGAAGCUCACCUUUGUGCUGAAAAAAGGAAUAAAUGACUUUAACUCAGAUCUUCCAGAUAUUCAUCCCAGUGUUCCUUUUUUUCCCAGUAUAUUACAGUGUGGACCAGCAUCGAGAGACCAGAGUUCUAGAACCCACGGUGGGACUUAGAGUGAGUUGCUUCUGCCUGGCUGGUUUCAACAUCAGUCAUUGAGCAUGUUGGACUAGCUCAGUGAUAUGGUUUGGAUCUGUGUCCUGCCCAAAUCUCAUGUUGAAUUGUAAUCCCAGUGUUGGAGGUGGGGCCUGGUGGGAGGUGAUUGGAUCGAGAGGGUGGUUUCCCAUGAAAGGGUUAGCAACAUCCCCAAGUGCUGCUCUCGUGACAGAGUUCUCCUGAGAUCUGGUUGUUUAAAAGGGUGUGGCACCUGCCCCUGCUCUCUCUUUCUCCUUCCCUGUCAUGUGACGUACAGGGUCCCCUUUGCCUUCUGCCAUGAUUGUCAGUUUCCUGAGGCCUCCGCAGAAGCUGAGCAGAGGCUGCCAUGCUUCCCGUACAGCCUGUGGAACCGUGAGCCCAUGAAACCUCUUUUCUUUAUAAACUAUCCAGUCUCAGGUAUUUCUUUAUAGCAGUGCGAGCACGGACGGACACGCUCGGUUCUCCCUAGAUACGCUCAUGGCUCUUUGUCUUUGGUACAUUAGUG
rnacentral:lncRNA from 10 species